UCGACCUGAACUCAGACAUGAACACCCGCUGAACUUAAGCAUAUCAGUAAGCGGAGGAAAAGAAACUAACGAGGAUUCCCUUAGUAACCGAAGUGAAAA
rnacentral:rRNA from 1 species